CAGCCGCCGCGGUAAUACCAGCCCCCUGAGUGAUAGGGACGAUUAUUUAGCCUAAAGCGUUCGUAGCCGGUCAAGUAAGUCUUUCGUUAAAUCUGACGGCUUAAUCGUCAGACCGCGGAAGAUACUGCUAGACUUGAGGGCGGGAGAGGUUGACGGUAUUCCUGGGGUAGGGGUGAAAUCCUAUAAUCCUAGGAGGACCACCAGUGGCGAAGGCGGUCAACCAGAACGCGCCUGACGGUGAUGGACGAAAGCUGGGGGAGCGAACCGGAUUAGACACCCGGGUAGUCCCAGCUGUAAACGAUGCUAGCUAGGUGUUGGGUCGGCCACGCGCCGCCCCAGUGCCGCAGGGAAGCCGUUAAGCUAGCCGCCUGGGGAGAACGGCCGCAAGGCUGAAACUUAAAGGAAUUGGCGGGGGAGCAC
rnacentral:rRNA from 1 species